UAUCCUACGGGAGGCAGCAGUAGGGAAUAUUGCUCAAUGGGGGAAACCCUGAAGCAGCAACGCCGCGUGGAGGAUGAAGGCUUCAGGAUUGUAAACUCCUUUUGUGAGAGAAGAUAAUGACGGUAUCUCACGAAUAAGCACCGGCUAACUCCGUGCCAGCAGCCGCGGUAAUACGGAGGGUGCAAGCGUUACUCGGAAUCACUGGGCGUAAAGAGUGCGCAGGCGGUCUUGUAAGUCAGAUGUGAAAUCCUGUAGCUUAACUACAGACUUG
rnacentral:rRNA from 1 species